UUUCUAGAUCUUCCUGGAGGAGCUUGCUAUCUAACCGAUAAUCCACGUUAAACCUCACCAACUUUUGCCCAUUCAGCUUGUAUACCAUCGUCGUCAGUCUACUCUCCAAGGAAAGUACACCCAAUGGAUUUUUCCCUUACGCCAGAUCAAGGUGCAGCUCAUAAGUUGGGGAUAAGUGAGCUACAAUAAUUAAACACACAAACAAACACAAAUUUAAAUAAAUAAAUGAAUAUUUUAUUUUGAAACAGGAUUCAGCAGUAAUGAUAAACAGAUAAUUAUCAUGAACUUAAGCUCUGCAAUACGC
rnacentral:rRNA from 1 species